CCUACGGGAGGCAGCAGUGGGGAAUAUUGGGCAAUGGGUGCAAGCCUGACCCAGCAACGCCGCGUGAAGGAAGAAGGCUUUCGGGUUGUAAACUUCUUUUGUCAGGGACGAAGCAAGUGACGGUACCUGACGAAUAAGCCACGGCUAACUACGUGCCAGCAGCCGCGGUAAUACGUCGGUGGCAAGCGUUAUCCGGAUUUACUGGGUGUAAAGGGCGUGUAGGCGGGACUGCAAGUCAGAUGUGAAAACCACGGGCUCAACCUGUGGCCUGCAUUUGAAACUGUAGUUCUUGAGUACUGGAGAGGCAGACGGAAUGCGUAGUGUAGCGGUGAAAUGCGUAGAUAUUAGGAGGAACACCAGUGGCGAAGGCGGUCUGCUGGACAGCAACUGACGCGGAGGCGCGAAAGCGUGGGUAGCAAACAGGAUUAGAUACCCGGGUAGUC
rnacentral:rRNA from 1 species